rnacentral:lncRNA from 1 species
GGUAAAGUGACCCUGGGUUAAAUCCCCAGUACCAAAAAAUCAAAAACCAAAAAACAAAAAUUCUCCCACACACUUAUAGAGAAGUAAACUACUGUAUGUAUGCUAUUUGAUAAAUUCUCACAAAGUAAACACACCCAUUGCCACACCAGGUCAGGAAAAUAAAACAUUAGCUACUAGGAAGGGCACCGCCAAGAACACUGCAGGUCCCCUCCCAAAAGUCAACCCCGUUUCCUCCCUGUGUUGACUUCUCCCAUUUCUAUUACACAGAAGUUCUGCCUGUUUUUACAGUUCAUGCAGUUGGGACCACAAAUAUGUUUUUAAUUGUUUUAGUCAAUAUUUAGCUUGUGGUUCUAUGCUGCAUGCCUUAUUAAUAUUCAUCAAUGUGUAUUUCAUCCUCUGAAUAUCCCAAGUAUAUUUAUUCAUCCUGCUGUUAAUGAACAUUUGGGAUACUUUUAGUUUGAGCAGUUAUAAUUAUAGUUAUAUUAGCAAUUAUAAGUAGCACCCCUAAAUGAAUUUUGGUAUAUAUCUUUUUGUAUGCGUACGUAUACAGUGUGGUUGGGUACACACCUUGAAAUGAAAUUGCCGUUUGUGAGGUAAGAACACACUUGAUUUUAGUUAGUGCCAAGCAUUUUUAUUAAUUAGUUGCAUCAAUUUACUUGCGUAAGCAAUAAAUGGGAAUUUUAUUCGUUACUGGUCCAUGCCCAAACUUAGCAUUAUUAGUCAUAUUAAUUUUAGC